UACGGUCAUUGUCAUUUUGUAAACACCGGUUCUCGUACGAUCACCGAAGUUAAGCAUCGUAGAGCCAGGUCAGUACUUAGAUGGGGGACCGCUUGGGAACACCUGGUACUGUA